CAGAGUUCAUGCCCUCGCGGGUAGAUCUCCCACCCUUGCGUACUUCUAUCGUUCGUUGCUUUGGCGGGCCGUCUCGGCUACCGGCUCUCGCUGGUAAGUGCCCGCCAAAGGCCUAAAACUCUGAACAUUAGUGUCGUCUGAGUACUAUAUAAUCGCUA
rnacentral:misc_RNA from 1 species